CUAUGUUCUAUCUACGUUCAUUCUUAGUUCAUCUAAAGCAUAUUCGUUUGUUCCUUCAAUUGCUCAUCAUUGGAACGCCAUUAUGUUUUCUAUAUAUUUUCAUUCUAUCUAGGCUUAUUCGUUUGUUCCCUCCCUUUCUCAUCAUUGGGACGUCAUCCGAGGUUCUAUGUAUGUUCAAUUUUAGUUCCUUUGGUCUCCGAUAGUUGGGAUGCCAUCCUAGGUUCUACCUAAGAUUAGUUAGUUGUUUCUAUGGUUUCUCGUUGUUGUGACUCCAUCCUAGUUUCUAUCUAUGUUUGUUCUUAGUUCCUUUGGUUUCCAAACAUUUUGAUGUUAUCCAAGGUUUUUGUCUAUGUUCAAUGUUAUUUCCUUUGGUUUUCAUUCAUUGGGAAGUCAUCCUAGAUUCUAUCUAAGCUUAUUCGUUUCUCAUCUUUAGGACACUGCCUUAUGUUCUAUCUAUGUUAAUUCUUAGUUCCAUUGGUUUCCCAUCAUUGGGAUGCUGUCGUUGGUUCUAUCUAAGCUUAUUCGAUUGCUCAUCAUUUGUUCUUUUGACUCAUCAUCAUUGGGACACCAUUCUUGGAUCUAUAUAUCGUCGUCCUUAGGUUCUUUAGUUUUCCAUGAUUGUUAUGUCAACCUAGUUUCUAUCUAAAGCUUUUUUUCCUUUUGUUUUUCAUCACUAGGACGCCAUCCUAGGUUUAUCUAUGUUUUGUUCAUUUGGUUUCGAAUCAUUGGAAUGUCAUCCUAUGUUAUACCUAGAAUUAGUCGAUUGUUUCUUUUGUUUCUUAUCGUUGUGACGCCAUCGUAGUUUCUAUCUAUGUUCGUUCUUAGUUCCUAGUAUCCAAACAUUGGGAUUCCAUCCUACGUUAUGUAUAGGUUCAUUGUUAGUUCCUUCGAUUUUCAAUCAUUGGGAAGUCAUCCUAAGCUCUAUCUAUGGUUGUUCAUUUGUUCCAUUGGUUUCUCAUCAUUGGGACCCCAUCCUAGGUUCUAUCUAUUGCUCAUUGUAAGUUCCUUCAGUUUCCAAUCAUUGGGAAGCAAUCCUAGGUUUUAUCCACACUUAUUCGUUUAUUCCUUUUGUUUCUAAUCAUUUCACGCCAUCCUAGGCUUUAUCUAUGUUCAUUCUUGCCUCCUAAGGUUUCCCAUUAUUACGAUGCCAUCCUACAUUCCAUCUGAAGCUUAUUUCUUUGUUCUUUUUUUUUCCGCAUCAUUGAGUCUCCAUCCUAUGUUCAUUCUUAGUUCAUUUAAAACAUAUUCAUUUGUUCCUUUGAUUGCUCAUCAUUAGAGCGCCAUUCUUGGUUCUAUCUACUUUCAUUCUUAGUUCCUUUAGUUUCCCAUGUUGGAGAUGUCAUCCUAGUUUUAAUCAAAACUUAUUUGUUUGUUCCUUUCCUUUCCCAUCACUAUGACAUCAUCAUCACUGUUACUCUCACCGUUACCGUGACUCACCGUUACUGUCACUGUUACAUUUACCGUUGCUAUUAUCAUAACCGUAAUUAUCACCAUUAUCGUCAAUGUUACCAUCACCGUUAUCGUGACCCUAACUGUAAUCGUC
rnacentral:lncRNA from 1 species